GCUUUGUUGGGAGGGGGAGAAACUGUAAUUCUGGCUGAAAGCUUGGGUAACAUAGUCCAAAUACAGCAAGAUUUCACAAUACCGUAUUUUCUGGGAACCUUUCUGAACUGUCAUCAGUCAGAAGAUUCCUCCGGAAGAGGCUUCCCUUGUAAAAGAAAAGUCUGAAAAGAUGCUCGCAGAACAUGUAAACGUGAUCUGACAGUGAGUGUAACAGCCUGAGCACGCACGCAUGGUUGUAGGAGAGAGGGAAGCAGCCUGGUUGAAGUGAAGUAAGAGACAAGCCUGCAGGCUUUCAGUCCUUACAUCUGAAUGGGUAUUGAAAUCCAGCCCCUGAACCCUGUUGUAUCCAAUAUAGGACAUCCAAGAUUUGCUACAGCUAUACCGCUCACAAAUUCUGUCUGUCUUCGUGGUCAAUGUGAGAUAUCUUCCUGGGCCUGACCACUGGGAAGCUUGUCUUCAGAGCGCAAGCACUCAAGCAGAGGGAAGAUGGACAACAUAUCACAAACAAGCAAAGGAAUCCCGUAGUGAAUGACAUCAUUGCUAAUAUCCUGUGGAUGGAGAAAACCACACCUAGACCUGCUGAAUACCAUGCGCCUGUAGCUGAGGAAUAUCUAGUUUUCAUACCGCUCCAACUCCACGGACUCCCAUGAAGUUAAGCCAGCAAAACUUCCCGUGAUGUUUAGCUCAUUAAUGAAAUAAAGCAGUUGCCGAUACACUCUGCAGCACUCAUGGAAAGGCUCAGUGAACCAGUUCUUGUCCGCACAUUUCCAAGAGUCCAGAAGCUGCACAGGCCGUGGCCAAUUCAGAUCUCUCCUCCUCUUUCUACCUGAGGUUUGAUGCAGAGGGUCCUCGGAAUCCGGUUAAGUGAAGUUCUUGAUAUGUUCAUGAAGAGCUGCUCCUUCUGCCAUCAUCUCACUAACACAUAAAUAAGUAUUUG